rnacentral:rRNA from 1 species
UGUUGCCUACGGGGCGCAGCAGUGAGGAAUAUUGGUCAAUGGGUGAGAGCCUGAACCAGCCAAGUCGCGUGAGGGAGUAUUGCCCUAUGGGUUGUAAACCUCUUUUGUCGGGGAGCAAAAGCCGGACGUGUCCGGCUGUGAGAGUACCCGGAGAAAAAGCAUCGGCUAACUCCGUGCCAGCAGCCGCGGUAAUACGGAGGAUGCGAGCGUUAUCCGGAUUUAUUGGGUUUAAAGGGGGCGCAGGCGGAUUUUUAAGUCAGCGGUCAAAUCGUGGGGCUCAACCCCAUCCAGACGUUGAAACCGGG